GGGCGUAAAGCGCACGUAGGCGGUAUGUUAAGUUGGAUGUGAAAGCCCCGGGCUCAACCUGGGAAUUGCAUUCAAAACUGGCAUGCUAGAGUAUGUGAGAGGGGGGUAGAAUUCCAAGUGUAGCGGUGAAAUGCGUAGAGAUUUGGAGGAAUACCAGUGGCGAAGGCGGCCCCCUGGCACAAUACUGACGCUCAGGUGCGAAAGCGUGGGGAGCAAACAGGAUUAGAUACCCUGGUAGUCCACGCCGUAAACGAUGUCUACUAGCUGUUCGUGGUCUUGUACUGUGAGUAGCGCAGCUAACGCACUAAGUAGACCGCCUGGGGAGUACGGUCGCAAGAUUAAAACUCAAAUGAAUUUGACGGGGGCCCGCACAAGCGGUGGAGCAUGUGGUUUAAUUCGACGCAACGCGAAGAACCUUACCUACUCUUGACAUCUACGGAAGAUUGCAGAGAUGCGAUUGUGCCUUCGGGAACCGUAAGACAGGUGCUGCAUGGCUGUCGUCAGCUCGUGUUGUGAAAUGUUGGGUUAAGUCCCGCAACGAGCGCAACCCUUAUCCUUAGUUGCCAGCACGUAAUGGUGGGAACUCUAGGGAGACUGCCGGUGAUAAACCGGAGGAAGGUGGGGACGACGUCAAGUCAUCAUGGCCCUUACGAGUAGGGCUACACACGUGCUACAAUGGUACGUACAGAGGGAGGCAAGCUGGCGACAGUGAGCGGAUCUCAUAAAGCGUAUCGUAGUCCGGAUUGGAGUCUGCAACUCGACUCCAUGAAGUCGGAAUCGCUAGUAAUCGUGAAUCAGAAUGUCACGGUGAAUACGUUCCCGGGCCUUGUACACACCGCCCGUCACACCAUGGGAGUGGGUUGCAAAAGAAGUAGGUAGCUUAACCUUCGGGAGGGCGCUUACCACUUUGUGAUUCAUGACUGGGGUGAAGUCGUAACAAGGUAACCGUAGGGGAACCUGCGGUUGGAUCACCUCCU
rnacentral:rRNA from 1 species